ACUGGAGGAAGGUGGGGAUGACGUCAAAUCAUCAUGCCCCUUAUGACCUGGGCUACACACGUGCUACAAUGGACAGAACAAAGGGCAGCGAGACCGCGAGGUUAAGCCAAUCCCACAAAUCUGUUCUCAGUUCGGAUCGCAGUCUGCAACUCGACUGCGUGAAGCUGGAAUCGCUAGUAAUCGCGGAUCAGCAUGCCGCGGUGAAUACGUUUACCAAGCCUUGUACACACCGCCCGUCACACCACGAGAGUUUUACCUUUAAAGGUCGGUGAGGUAACCUUUAUGCACCCANCCACACAG
rnacentral:rRNA from 1 species